GCACCAUUCUAGGAAUUCUAGAAAUAUUAAGGCAUUUAAUUCUCACAAUAACCUUAUGGAAGAGAGACUGUGAUCAUCAUUCCUGUUUACACAGAAGGGACUGAGCGUGGAGGUGUUAGAUGGCUUGUCGAAGGUCCUAAGGUAGUGGUGGACUCGGAAUUCAGACAUGGGCAGUCUUGUUCUAGACACUGUGGCCUUUACCCAUGCGUGGUCCUGCUCUGUGUUGUAUGCUUUGAUCCGCCUCAUCCACACUGAUUUUGCACAAAUCAAAUCCCAUUGUCUGGUUGCUAUCUUUAGUUUUUCUCCUGUUCGAAGUGAUAUUGGAUCAAUGGAAUCUCUAAUAUUUCUUAGUAUCAGUCAUUAUUUUGUGAAGCAUUUGCUCUAAAACUUAAAAAUAUAUCUAAUCAGCAAUUGAUGUAAGUAAUCUAUGUUUCUCAUAGAAAAUAUGAUGAAGAAGAGAAGAUAGAAAAGUAACUAUGCCACAGUCUCACCCGUGUUAAACAUUUCGGCAGAAGAUUUUUCUUGGCUGCCAUGCUCGCUGUCUCCUCAUUGCAAAUUUGUCACGAGCCCCGUCUCCUCCAGCCUGUCCUACAUGUUGCUGUGGGCCCACCAGGUGUGAGGACAGUGGAACUCAUUGGCACAGGAGAUGAAGAAGCAAAACUAAACAUCUUUAGACAUCAUCUCUCCAUUCCCAACAAAGACCCCUUCCCACAGAGCAAACGCUGAGGCAAAAAAUGAACCUGAAUCCUUUAUAGCUCACAAUGCCAGCAAAUGAAGUGAAAGAACGCAGACGCUACCGAAAUGAGCUUCAUGUCUGAAGGAGGACUUGGACGUGAUCUCGUUUGAGGAGCUCUGAGAAUUAAUUCUGAAACGCUGGAUUGAAGACUACAGUUGGACUUUUAAACAAAAAAGGCAAAUUCAGACACUGCAACUUCAGAAGAAGGUCAGCAGAAUCUCUCUCCUUCCUGGGCAGGAUAAAACGACCUCUUCAGCUCAUCCUGUAAUUGUCUGGGUCUGUUGUUUGUGGUAAAAAAUUUAUUCCACGAGUUGGUCAGGAACUUGUCUUUCGAGAUUCAACAAUCAGGCUUUUGAGUCAAAGCUUGUUCUCGCCAGCUACUGUCUCUGCUGUGAGCUUCAAAAGCCUCUUUUGAAAAAGGUGAGUUUUCCUCUCUUCAUUUCUGCUACAUAACAACCUUCUCUUAAGGGCACGAAUUUAGAAUGGAGCAGGGAGGGGGAGGUGGGGGUGGGGAGAGAGAAGCAGAAAAUACUUGGAAUGAAAGACACAUUGCUGUGUCUUCCCCCACUUUUGCUCUAGAGUUUGCAUUUCUGCAAAGAAAAUUGAUUUCAAAUUUAGUAUGCCCUCCCCACCCACAAGCGGGUGGAAACAAGGUCUGUGUGUACCCCAAGGAGAGUCACUCAGGCGAGGUGGCCCACGGCGGUGCCAUGGCUGUCCCUAUAUCUCUGGGAUGUGCAGGAAAGCCCAGGCCCCCUCAUUUUCCCAGGUGACCUUCCUCCUCCCAGCACUGCCCACUGACCCCACUCAGGCCCCGGGGCUCAGCCACAAGUACAGGAAGAGCUUGGUCAAACUGGGGUCAUCCUCAGAGGAAGCUUGUACAGCUGGGGCUGAAUUGCUGCCUCUGCUUAAAGAUUCCAGGUAUUUUGGGCUCGUUCCCCAAUCCUAGCAGAGGAAAUACAUUUAGAAUGAUAGACCUUUGUAGUCAUUUCUCUCAGUUGUCUUAAGGAUCUUAGUGUUGGUUGAUCGUAAAGCCAGUGGGUCUGGUGGAAACAUCGAAGAGUCAGGUGAGGAAGGAAUAGCCGGCCCCAGUGGUGUCUGGGAAUGUGUGUCAGGACAGCAUUCAGACAGAAAACCCACUCACACCCAUAGAUGCAAAUCUGAUGAUGGGAAAUCUUAACAAAGACGGCUCAGCAGAAAUGCUAAGCGUAAUGAUCGGAAAGCUUGCCAGUUUGUCACCAUAGCUAACAUGGAUGUAUUAGUUGGGACAAUACAGAUGCUAACUUAAUGGCUAAGAGGAUGGGCUCUGAAGCCAGGCUGUCUGCGUUCAAAUCCCAGUCCUUCACUUAUUUCUGUGUGACCCGGGGUAAGUUACUUAACUUCUCUGUGCUUCAUUUUUCUCAUUUGUAAGACAGAGGCAGUUACAGUGUCCACCGUAGGAUGAUUGAAAGAAACAAGCUUAUUAGUCAUAUAAAGCAUUUAGAAUGAUGCCUGGCGCAUGUAAGCCUUCUUUUUGUCAUCAUCGUCAUUAUGUUGUCUGCAUAGGGCUGGGAGGCCGACAUUCUGUGCUUAUUGAGCAUCUCUCAUUGUGGGUUGGCCAAUGGGAUACCCCAGACUUUGCACAUGCCGGGCUAUAGGAAUCAUUGCAAAGUGAUCACGUUGCACUGGGCUGCCUUCUGCAAUGCCACCAAAGCGUGGGUGUAGGAGAAGGCCAGUGGCCUCCUGCACUUCCAGCACCAGCCCCUGAGAAAUGCUGUGGAGCACAAGCUUCUUGGUCAGGCUUGAAUCUGUGCAAAUGCCUGCUGGCUAAGGGAAGGGAAGGUUGCACACAAGCGAAAGCUUGUAGCUGGCAUUUCUCAAGUAGAAAUGAAUCUAUAAACAUGCAUAAAAAUGGUUAUAUAAAUUAAUGCUUGUACUUGGCUGUGAGUAACAGAGACCUGACUUCAAUGGCUUAACACUCAGGGUUUAUUCUCUUGUAUGAAAGACUUCUGGAGGUAGUUGGUCCAGGGCUGCUCUCUUGGCUCCACAAAGUCAUCUGGGACCCAGCUUCUUCUAUGUCCCUGAUCCACUACACUGGCUUGCAUUUGUAAGAUAACCUCAAGCUUAUGACUCCUGGCAACAGUAUGGCUGCUGGAGCUCCAGCCAUCAUAUUUCAGGCAACAGGAAGGAAGAAGAAAGGAAGAAGGGCUUGCAUUUCCUUUGAAGGAGCUUUCCCCGAAGUUUUCCACCAACAUUUCCACCUAUGUCUCUUUGACCUAGAACUUCAUCAUUUGGCCAAGGGAAGUUGGGGAGUAGUUUCAACUGGUUGUGUUCCUACUUUAAACCAAGGUGGGGUCUGUCAUUAAGAAAGGUGAGGGAAAUGGAUAUUGGAUAGGAAUUAGCAGUCUCUGCUCUAAUUCUGAAAUGAAAUUCUCACCCCAUUCUGAAAAAAACUGCAGGUCUGAAUCCAAGAAACUGCGGCAAUCACAGACCCCUGACCUAGAAGCAGGGCACCCAC